GUCUUGAAGUUCAUGAAGGCUUACUCUUACUGAUUCAGGGGCCACCUGCAUUAUUCGUAUUUUGGUACAACUUAAGUAUAGGAUAUGCACCUUCCAUUUGUCUAUGCAUAAUUUUUCUGCUCAUGCAUGGUGCAUACUUUUGACUUACAUAUGAUGUAUUCAGCGAUGUCAUUGGUGACUCGUGUGAAGUUGCUGUUUUUUAUUCAGGUGCAAUGACACCGUGACAGCCAUGGAGAAUAUAUGCAUGAAGCCGUGAGCAGGAGAGGCGUUUUAGCUCCCAGAGGGUGUUUCAGCGGUGUGCUCGAGGACGAGCAUUGACAGCGCGGGUGUCCGAUUUCCAGCGGCGCAGACAUGGCGAUGGAUUUCUCCAUCUCUCCGGUAGACAGGUUGCCCAUCUUCCUGGAUGAGGCGGCUAGCGUGGUGGCCCUAAUGGAUUUGAUUGGUGGCGAAGAGGAAUCCGCCAAUGGAUCUUGUGGGGCUGUUGUCGCCGGAUUUGCGCAUGACUCAUCUGGGCAGUUCGUACGUGGUGUUGUGUGCAGCAAGGAGAGGACUGUAGCUACCGGUGGUGCCGCCAUGUCCGGUUUCAGUGAGAGCGAGGGUGACAACGCAGAUGCAAUUGACCAAGCCGACGACCGAAGCACAUAUUGAUGAACACCAAGAGGCUGUGAUUUAAGAUCAAACUGAAAGUGGUGAUGGAGGGUCUGCUCAAUCUACUACUUGCAAGGUGGAUCCGCAAGCCCCUGGGUGGACUUAGAGAGUAAGAGUCGGGAAUCAGCCAACGGAUAGAGCCCCAUGCCCAGAAAGAUUAGAUGCGCUGGAGGAGACAAUUCGAGGGCAUGCAGAUAAAUUGGGGGACCAUGUAGUUGAGCCUGCUAUUGGCUUAACAUUCAACUCCUUGGGUGAAGCAUAUGAUUUUUGCAACCUUUAUUCGUGGGAGCAUGGUUUUGGUAUCAGGACACCCUGUCCCAGCGGGCUCGGCACACUCUCCGCUUCGCUGAAAUUAUAGGACACCCUGUCCCAGCAGGCUCAACACUCUCUGCUCCGCUGAAAUUACAGGACCGGACACUAUGUCUGGGAAGAAUUUGUGCACUGGAGCAAAUGAUUUAGGGGUAUACAGAUUAGUUGGGUGAGCACGGUGCUAUUGAGCUAACACUAGACCCUAUGUAAGAAACAUAUGG